rnacentral:lncRNA from 1 species
GGGCCCAAGAACACCCAAGAUUAGGCAGCAAGCAAAGGACGAGAAACUGGCCACGUGGCAGCAACCAGUAAGAGCCCAAGAAAAGAAGUUCACAGUGUCCAGAAAAACAAGGGCACAAGAGUAUUUCAAAUAGGAGGGAGUAUUUGUGUCAGAGUCGGCCACUGCUAAGGGGUCAAGUCAGAUAAAGCCUCAUGAGCAUCCCUUGGAUUUAGCAACUAGGAGGUGGAAGCACCAGUGGCAGAAUAUUAACUACCAACUCCUGGGCAAGAGGAAGAGCCAUCUGGUUCCCCUGCGCCCGUGAGAGCGAAUGUGAGGAAACAGGCUCCAGGUUCAUCACAUGGUGGUCCCAAGGCCGACUUGUGCAAGCCAGGAUGACAGGAGGACGGCGUGGGAGCACUGCUCAAUCCCGUAGCCCUUCCCUGUGGCUGAAGAUGAUCCACCUUCGCCCUGUCUCCUGAGGUCUCCGUGUUUCUGCCCUUCACGGCCCAAAUAAAGCAGCUUUUGCCUCUCUCUGGCCCUCUCCACUUUGCAGGGUGAUGAUCUCAGUUCCUUCCAUUCGCAUACACUGUUAGACUGAACCCAAAGGCUGGGAGGGCAUCUGCUGCCACCCCUGACCCUUCCACUGCCCCCAUCUCCCCCGUGAACCCCCCAGUGGGAUAGCCUAGAUGACCCAGACCUGGCUCCUGCUCUCUAGACUCUCGCUGUGCCAUAGAAAGAGAAAGGCAGAGACAUACACUAGCUCAGUAAAGUGCCACAGGAGAGUGAUAUUGUUUGGGGCACAGUGAGUCCUCUGGUGAGUGAGGAAAGCCUUCAGGAAGGGUCUUGAGCUGAAUCUGGACAAGUGGGCAGGCACUGGGUAGGCAUAAGUAGCGCUCCAGGCAGAUUUGGCAGCACAGAGAAAGGUUUGGUCAUUUGCAGGCUGAACUCCUCAUCCCACUGAGGGAACUGUGAGACUGGCGGCCAAAUGGGCUCUGCUUAAAAUGAGGCUAGCUGGGCUGGAGCUUCAAAGACCUGGAAGGCUAGAAUAGGGGGCUGGACAUUCUCCGGGAGGAAGUAGGGAACCAAGGACAAGUU